rnacentral:lncRNA from 1 species
CUAGAAUAUUGGUGACUGUUACAAAAAUGAGAAAUUCUGGAUCUCUGAGAAAACAAAGGAUUCCAUUACAUCAAGUCCAUCAGAGCCUCAGAAAAUCCAGCAAAACCAGUCUCAGGUGAACCCAGCGAAGGUAAAUUCAUAGUUCUUGACUCUUUCCUAAAUUGCUUUCUGGAUUCUCUUUGUCUAGAAUCUUUCUUAAGUGGGAACUCAAGAGGUCAGAGAAGGAUAAGGAAUCCUGAGGAUACUUGGGAUUAUAUUGUCAUACAUGGUGAAAUGGAUUCUUUUUAAAAGUUCAGUAAAUGAAUUGGGCAGAAUGAAGGGUAAUGAAUUAGCAUACCAAUAUGCAUAUAUAGCAAAAUCACUCAGAGCAAACAAUUUUAACUAAGGGUAUUGCAGUAAAUAAGCAUUGGUAUAGGAAUUGCAAAGUCUUAGAUUCAAAUGCUGACUUCAUCCUUACCAGCUGUGUGACAUGUACAUGUCCAAUUUACCUACCCUCUCUGAGCUUUAGUGUACUUAUACAUAACAAAGAAACAGUAUCUGCUGUGCUACUGCUGGGUGAGUUUUAAAUGUGAUACAGUUGUGAGAAUUAAAUUACAAAGGUGAAAUAACAUUUUAUAUUAUUAGUGAUAUACAUAUGUUAUUACUAUCAGUUAAGCUACUUUAAUAUGUAUGUAUAUAAACAUAUUUCCUACUUCACUGUUUCAAACAAGGGGGUGAUACUGGGAAACAAUGAUUAUAAAACUAAUUAAAUCAAUGUAUCAUAAUCUUCAACUAAUCUGCUUGGGUGGCAAGCUUAUAGAAAAUGAAGAAUGCAUCUUUUGUC